ncrna:unclassified sequences type-P1 twister ribozyme
CUUGUAAUGCAACUAUUAUUAUUGUAAAAUAGUAAUAUCGGUGGCAAGUCCGAAAAAAUGCAGAGCCAAAG